rnacentral:rRNA from 1 species
UACAGGGGGGGCAAGCGUUGUUCGGAAUUACUGGGCGUAAAGCGUGCGCAGGCGGUUUCGUAAGUCUGUCGUGAAAUCCCCGGGCUUAACCUGGGAAUGGCGAUGGAGACUGCGAGGCUAGAGUUUGGCAGAGGGGGGUAGAAUUCCACGUGUAGCAGUGAAAUGCGUAGAGAUGUGGAGGAACACCGAUGGCGAAGGCAGCCCCCUGGGUCAAAACUGACGCUCAUGCACGAAAGCGUGGGGAGCAAACAGG